UAAAAUAGCUGUAACACCGCUGGCAUAAAGUUCUAAUGCGUUUUAUUUGAUGUUUCGUAUGUGUGCUUAACAUUAAGCUAAAAAUAUUCAUGAAUGAUUGUUUGUUCAAGUACAUUAGAUUGACGUUUAGCAUCUCACUCCAUCCACCACUGUAUUGAGUUAAUCGGUAAAAGGUCUGGUUAUUCGAUACGAAACUAAAAGCACAAUAUUCAACAAGUACCGUGGUUGGCAAUGGACCAACAGGCGAUUCCGCUUGCUGACAAACCGUGCCUGAUUACUUAGAGAGAGAAGCAGGACUGGCCGUGAAUAGUUUUUCUAUAUUCAGGAGUCAGGGAGACUGGUUUUAUAUAAGAGAGAUAUAUACAAUGAUAUUGCUUCGUUAAAAGCGUCUGGAAUUGAUGGCUUCGAGCAGACGACAGCAAAUAACAACACUAUUCAUAGACUAGCCGACACGUUGUAAGUUUCCAGACAGUUAUAAAGAACUGUCGUGAUAUGUAGCACAGGAUUACUAUAGGUGAAGACAGCGUUGUGGAUUAUUGAUAUAAGUGUUCAAUAGAUUAUACAUUACGAGUUUGCUUCAGAAAUGGUGAUAUAAUUGUGAGGUGAUGUUCCAGUUACUUCGGCUGUAAUUUUGAUUUGUCGUGUAAAGUUAGCAUUAAAUAUGGCGCCUACUGUGGCUAUAGAAACGGUUAUUAUUGUCAGACCUUUAAAGGUGAUUGCUGUAUUAUGUGGCUGUGUGGCCUUAUUUCUUAUGAUGCUGUCUAUUGCUGCUACAACAUGGUUGGAAGCAGACGGUAGACGUGAAGGAUUAUGGGAACUGUGCCGUAGAACAGAUACAGAUGGUAUGGAGAUCGAAUGUAUCAAAAAUCAACCUAGAGGAAUAAGUAAGUAUAAUAUGCUAUGAUUUAGGUUCGUUAGAUAAAUGUGCAAUUCAUUACAUGUAGAUCUAGAUUAUUAUAUUUGUCUUAGAAAUAGAAUAGAAUACAAUUCGAUAAAUAUGUAUGGUAUCGUUUAAUACUCAUCUAAGAGGUAAACAUUUUCUCAAAUAUAAUUUUGAGUACAAUAUCUUAUUCAUAUUAUUCUCUAACAGCAAUAUACGAGAUGUCAUAAUAUUUUUGAGUAUAUAAUUUUGACUAUAAGCUAUAGUAAUAGCAUGUAAAUCAAAUGGUACAGUUUGUAUACAAUAAGCUUGGCUGUUAGAACCUAGUUUUAUUUGCUAUCGGCUAUGUGAGUUGGCUGUCCAUGUAGUCUAAGGUGUGCGUUUGAGAUCACAAGGUCCGCGAUUAAGUCAAUUCUUGGGAUGCGCGUGAUGAGCCACAGGAGCAAGGUGAUCGGUUGUAAUGUUCUCAAUUUAGUGUCCUUGACCCAGGUUCCGGUGGAUUAUGAUCUUCCAGUGAACGCCACACAAUACAUCAUUCAUUGAGCAAGACUACAUGGUUUUGGUGGGGAGGAUAACGAUACAAUUCCAGUUUUGAAUGUCCAUACCCUCCAUAAUAUUUCGAGUGAACUUGGAAAUUGUCUACAAAGUUUUUUUUAUUGUUGAUUUUAGUAGCCUAUGGUAUUCUUUUUCAGAAUCUGCCAGGUGAACCUCGGUCACCCUUGAGCGUUUUGAGAAAUUGAAGAUGGCGUCCAAGUCGGCCGCCAUUUCAAAUAAUCCCCUAUAACGCCCAUAUAUUUAUUCUAGGAUGAUAAUUUGGGGGUCUAAACGUAUGUACCUGGGGCCAAGGAAUACACUGAAACCAUUCAUUAUGUUGUGGGGUGAUUAGAUGAUAGUAAAAUCUAAAAUGCCAGACAUUAUGGCCCCUUAACUCAGUAGCUGUAGUUGAGGGCCAUUAUUUCACCAAAUAAGACUAAGACUAGAGAAAAACUAUAUAUUUCUGGAUAAACGAGCAUAUGAGUGAUACGAUAACACGACAUACAUGCCUAUCAGGGGCUCCAGGGCCACAUGGGCCGGCACUGAAAAGGGGGCGGGGGCACAAACUUUUUUUUUAACAUUUAAAAAAACAAAAUCUACCCACAAAGCCAAACACGAAAAUAACCCCGACAAGAUUUGGCAAUAUUCAGUUUAAUCCUUUGUCGUGUUUCUGGCUGCAACCUACGACAGCACAAGCGCAAGAUACUGUACAUUCUAAGCCAUCCCAAGUGCAUCUAAAAGCAAGCGUGCUGCAUGGGGUGUCACUCUUGCAUCCGCAUCUGAUGAGCAAGUUGGCCGGUUGUAAUCUCAAUUUAGUAUCCUUCGCCCAGCAAUAAAAUUAUGGAUCAAGUUCCGACGGAUUACCAUCUUUCAGUGAAUUGUUGCCUACGCGCACACGAAUUAUUGAAAUAGAGAUGUAUCUAUAUUUUUGUCUUGAGAAGAAAUAUGCAUUUUGUUGACAAAUGUGUCUCCGUUGUGGCAAUGCUUUGUUCUGAUACAUUUCUUUUAUUAUUAGUGUUGAUUAAGCAAUCAUUUAGAAUAGUGGUUCCAGCUAUUGUGAAUCUUUUUUAAUAUUUUUGUUAUAACACUUUGUGCCUUAAUACGUUUGUCUUUUAAGGGACGUUGUUUUUAGUAUAUGGGUAUUAUGAGCAAUAACCGCUUUCAGAAAUUAAAAUGGUAAUGUUCAAAUGGGUAUUAGAAAUCUCACAAUUUAUUCAUUUAGCAGAAUAAUACCCAUCUGGGACCACGGUGACUCAGUGAGUAAGGCGCACUAACAAGACGGUCGCGGUUUUGAUCCUGGUGCUAGCUGAUGAAGUUCGUCGGUAGUUCGUAUGGGACAGAGGUUCCGUUUACACGUAAGAAAAAAUGGAAAUUGGAAUUCGAUGAAAAGUAAGCGGAAAUGCCGCUGUCCGGACAAAUAUACCCUCAUGCGUACUACACUACAUGGUCUAUGUUCAUCUUCAUUAGCCCGGUUGGUGCAGAAAAGUAGGACGUUAAACCCUAUUACAUUUCACUCUAGAAAAAAAAAACACAUUUUUUUUUAUAUCUCAAAAUGUUACCCAUAUUGCAACAAGACUACGUUCCUUUGAAAUCGAUUUAAUAGAAUUAGUUUUGGGGUAGAUCACUCUCAGAGAUUAUUGUUGUUUUCGUCGAAUAUAAUUAUUGAUUAUAGGCGACGGAAACAAAAGAAAGAUUCAAUUAAAAAUAUUUUAUGCUUAUGGAAAUUUAUGAUCAAAGAGAUCAUUCUGGUUUUUUGUUGGGUUUUUCUUUCAGCGUGGAUAGAAGCUUGUCGAGCUCUAUGCUUGAUGGCAUUAGCUGUUUGUCUUUGUGCUGUUAUUGUGGCCUGUGUUGGUUUAAAUACUGAACGUUUUAGAUGGAAAUAUCAUUAUUAUAAAGCAGCCAUGAUCAUUAUGUUUAUAGCAGUAACCUUGCAAGCCAUAUCACUUAUUAUUUUUCCUGUCAAAUUCCUUGAAGAGAUAACUAAAAAAGAGGAAGUGAGAUGGGAGUUUGGGUGGGCGUAUGGUAUAGGUUGGGGCUCCGCCAUCUUUAUGUUAGGCGCC